GUCUCCAUCUCUGCAGCAACAGGAAGGCUCAUCAGACUCUCCAUAGUAUCUCAAAGAAGCCACUCUCCCCAGGCUUGAGAUGCACAAAUAGGUUAAACACCCCCACCUUGCUCACAUACGUGUGUGUGUGUGUGUGUGUGUGUGUGUGUGUGUUAGGAGGUGGAUGACAGCAUGGUAUUUGUAAAAAAAAAAAAAAAAGUAGUAAAAUCCUCUCUUCAUACCUAUUGAGUCUUUUACAUCUUCUUUGUGGUUUAGGGGUUUGUGAAGGAGGGAUUAGUAUUUGAAACUGGUCGUCAAGUCUUUGCUGGGAAAAACCUACAUCCACAUCUGGCCACUCGCUUUGCAAUUUCUGUUCAAAUCUCCGAGUACCAUCCUAUUAUGUGUCCAGUGGGGAUCUCAUUCGUAGCUGCCCUGUAGGGUUUUUUUUAGGAGACGCAGCCACAUAAAUGCUCAGUGCCAAGCGCUGAGCGGAGUGCCCGACGCUUGGAAAAGAGCUCAGCUACGUGCUGAUGGUCUUGGCUCUGAACCCCCCUCGCCGAGCUGAGCGCGUGCGUUCAAUGAAUGUUAAUGAUGACUUGUAAAUAACUAUCUCAAGGCAGAAUAGGGUAAGGGCUAAGUAAGCACCUAAGUUCCAUACUGUGGUAACCAAAUGAAGCGGUAGGUGAUUCUGAUGGAUACCGUGGGGGAGGCCUCAGCAGAGUGUUUGGGAUUUCAGUAAACAGAGAAAGGAGCCAUUGUGCAAGUGCACAGAAGCAGGCUGGUACGUGUUUCUGGAAGAUUCCAACAGGGCGAGGAAAGAGCUCUCACUUGUGGGUGGGGCUGGGCUGUUGGUUUGGCCAAAUCAUGCUUUAUUAGGGGCCGGCCGGCUCGGUUAGGGACUCUGUCAGCUGCACAUGAUAGGAAAUCAGCCUUGACUGGCUUACAACAGCAGAGGGGAGAUACUGGCUCCUGAAAGCUCAAGGCUGAAGGGCUGGUCCGCAGCUGGACUCAGGGUUCGAAGACCAUCACCAGGACCUGUUUUUCUCAGUGCUGAUUUCGUUCUCAGCCACGUUCCUCCUGGAGCGGCCAGAUGGCUGUGGCCCUUGCGAGGUGCCCACCUCCCCUGCUGAUCCGCAGGGAAGGUCCGUGUGUCUUGUGCCUAGCAUUCCCAGAAGAAGUCCUGAGAUUCAGGGUCAUUGGCCCGACCUCGAUCCCAUGCUGACAGGGAGUUCCGGGCGUGGUCCGGACCCAGGCGAUAAAACUGACAGAUACAGACUCUGUGCACUUAAUUUUGACUCCAGGAGGCUGCUCUUGAGCUCAACUGCCUGACUCCCCAUCCUGACUCACCAGCCGUCUGACCUCGAGCAAGCCAGAGGUGCGAAGAGCUGGAGCCCUUUCUGCAGGCCUGUGUGCACCCCGUGACUGCCGGUGUUGGGGGCAGAUGGAGGCAUUCGUGCCACCUGCUCCAGACACGGCUGGGACGAUACGGCGCUAAGUGGCAAGCCUUGGUUCUGCCCUGAAGGUCCACAGAGACCCCCUGGACCUCAGUCUUCUCAUCUGUAAAAUGGUGCCGAAAGCGGACAGCCGUGUAGGACUGUUUCCCGGAUGAAAUAAGCCGUUUCGUGCAACACACUCAGCCUGUGGCUACUACUUGUUCCUCUGAACUUCGGAGCUUUCAUAACUUUUCCUGUGCCCAUGUUUGCGUAGGGUGACGAUGCCACUCACCUACGUGGGUACUGCAAACCCCUUGGGUUCUUGCUCUCCCAGCGGCCAGGGAUUUGCACUGAGCCAUUGCAUCAGUUAAGACUCGUGGUUGCAAGUGACCGAAGCAUUGAUCCUUACUAGAUUACAUGAAAGGGGAAUUCGUUGGCUCCGUGGGGAGCUCUAAAGGCGGCCAAGGGUAGAGGCUGGCUUCAGGCACUGCUGGAUCCAGGGAUGGAACUGAUACCAUCAGGAUCGGGUUUCUCUCUCUCUUCAUUUCUCACCGCCCCCCUUCCCUCGUUGUUGGCUCCCUCCCCGUGGUGGCAGAAAUGGCUCUAGUCUCAUCUUCUCAGGAUCAAGGCCAGGGGGAAAGAGCCAGCCAGCCCCAGAAUUCCCAGCAAGAGUCUCCAUGCAUCUCUCUGCCCUUCCCGGAGCCCAUCCAUCGCUGUGGCCAGAAGAAUGGGAUGCCCAGGGGAAGCCAGGCUCAGAUGGCAUGCCAGCCCUAAAGCCACCGGGUAGGUCUGCUCUGCUCAAACCCCAGAUCCAAGAGGACAGAUCGGUGGUUGUCCAGAGGGAAAUCAGGUAUGGCAGCCACCCACACUCUAUGGCCGUGUGUCCCCAAGUGGACCUUGAGGAGCUGACUUCUCGAAUCUCAAGAAACAGAAUGGGCUGCGAGUGGGUGCCAAGCCAGGCUGAGUGGCUCCGAAAAAAAAUUAAAAACUCCCAUCUGAGCUUCCUUGGGGGGCCAGCUGCUGACCAACUCGACCAGCUGACCUUGAACGGGAUCCUUCCCUCAACUUGACCCACAGCCUGCCAGGGGGAAAGCUGGCCUCCUGGAUGGAGGGGCUGACAGGCUGGAGACUUUUCCAAAGCGUUUGUCAUUCGGCAGGGUCCAGCAAUCACUUUAUUAGUUACUAAUUAUUUGUCUUUCCUGUAAAAAGGAACCAGCCUUUAGUGCAAAGUCCCCCUCCCCCACCGCCCCCAGGGCUCACAAAAAAAUAAUCACAAUGGGGGCGCCUUGGGUGGCGCAGUCUGCUAAGGGUCAGACUUCAGCUCAGGUCAUGGUCUGGUGGU